CCGUCUAAUGGGGAAGAGGACAGAGAACUAAUGAAAGGUGAACCUGUAAAACAGACCCUGGUGGGUAAAGCCCAUUGGCCCAGUUUCCUCUCCCCACCCCACCUCCACCCCUAAGGUUUUGGCCUUGUGUAAAUAUAUGAGCCUGGAGAUGUAAACUUGGAAGUUGUCAGCUUUGAGAAUUUAUGUGGUCACCAAAGAAAUGAAGGCAGGUAGAGAGCAGAUCCAAAGAUGUAUCUGGAGACAUCCCAAAAUUAUGAGUAUAGGAAUAGGAGAAAUGAGCAGGUCCCUAUCUCUUUGAGGAUAAAUCCAAACCCCAAAGCUUGGUUUGUCAACCAUCAUACCCAUUCCUGGCCCUCGAUGCCUGCACACACCAUGUUGCUGCAUGACUCUGUGCCUUCGCUCAUGCCCUUCCCUCUGCCUUCAUUCUCAUUUUUUUUGUUUGUUUUUUGUCUUUGUGGGGUUUUUUAAAUUUAUUUUUGAAAGAGAGAGCAAGACAGAGUGUGAGCAGGGGAGGAGCAAAGAGAGAGAGAGAGAGAAAAUCUGAAGCAGGCUCCAGGCUCUGAGCUGUCAGCAGAGAGCACAAUGUGGGACUCAAACCCAUGAACCUUGAGAUCAUGACCUAAGCUGAAGUUGGACACUUAACCGACUGAGCCACCCAGGCGCCCCUGCCCUUUUCCUAUGCAGCAAUUAGGCUGUUUCCAUUUCGCACUUUCACAACCAACUCCACGCCGUCCAUUCCUCAGGCGGUUCUUGAUCCUGUGCUCACAUGCAAGACUGCCCAGCUGCGUUCUAGGAAUAGAGAUGUGGCCUGGCGGCCUGGUGGGCCUGCUCAUCUUCCCCUUUACUGGGCAUCCUGAGGGCCCUCCAUGGGGCUGGUACACAUGGGUGCUUUCAUUUCCUGCUGCCCCACAGAAGGGAAGUGCCCGGCCACCGGCUCUGCCCUUGACCCAGGGCAGAUCCCUGUGGCUCCCUAUUCACCACUUCUGCCUGUGUCUGGUUCACAAAGAGGCCUCGCUUACUUUAAUCUUGACUAGAUCUUUCCGGGUCUGUUUCUUUUUGUGCUUUAGUCACCGGUAUUUUGUAUCUGAAACAUGGAGUCAUUUUGCUAUUUGACUGUAGGUCUGUCUUAAGCUACUUUUCUGGGCAUUUCUCCCAUCCCUCAGCACACUUCUGCUUAUGGGCCUCUUGGGCCCAGAAAUACUUUCCCAGGCUUGUCUUGGAGGCUGUAGCACUGUUUGGGCUGAUCUCCGGGUCAUCUUUCUAAGCGUGGUUCAGAUGCCAAGUCUUUCGUUUCCUCCCCCUUUUCCUUCUUCCUGGGAUGGCAGCUGUCAGCACAUUUAUACUCAGGGGACAGCACUAGAGUCCUGGCUUUCUGGCUUUCGCCAGACUGUGACUUUCUGGCAGCUGACCCUCUUCCUUGUCCCAUGACUACCAUCACAUGGUCCCUGACCCCCAAGUGAGAGCCUACAGAGCAUCACUGGGGCAAAGGUGAGGUAUGUGUGGGUGCCCACUGAUUUCCUAUCACUUGAUGACAGUAACGAUAGAAAUCCUGUGAGCAGGCAUUCUGCUAAGGGAUCCGUAUGGCUCUGAAAGACUAUAAAAUGACUAUUCUGUCUCUAUCACGGAUGAGGAAAUUAAGGCUCAGAGAGGUAAAAUGACUUACUCAAGGUAAUACACCCAAAACUACAUUUACCAUUGUUGAUGGCACAUUCACUCCUUUUCCCAAAUUACCCUACAUCCAAAGGACUUUCUGAUGUCUAAGAAGGAAAAUACUAAUGCUUUCCCUUCGUGGUCUAGUGCAGCAACACAAAAUGUCCCUGCAAAGAUUGUAUGGUCACAGCUUUGAAUUUAAUAAGCAAGUCACAGGAUACUCAGCUGAUCAGAGCACAAGUCUGAGACUUCCUAUUUUGCUCCCCAAUAGAUAAAUUUUAUUGCAUUUAAACAUUAUCUCAAAUAGGUCCUGGGACUCAUUUGGCAACUUCUUGCUUCUGUAGCUGAAUGACCUCAGAUCUUUUCAUCAGCCCACCAAUCAGUUCCUUUCUAAGAGACAGAUAACAUCUAAAAUUUUUCUGAUAGCCUGUGAUUGAUUAACUGCUGUAGCUUGCUGAAUCAAAGAAGCUGAGUUUGGUACAAGUUCAAUGCCAGUAACUUUCUGGGCUUGAGAUACUGAACAAGUAAUACCGGGCCUCACUUUACCCAGCAGAUUGAUUUUUUUCAUUCGUGAAAAAUCAGAUUUCAACAAGAGACCCACCCUCCUGAAUACAGAUAUAAAUGGGGGAAGUGAGCACACACAGACCUCCUCCUAAUGGAAACCCAGUGGAACACCCUUGAUCAUGUGCUAUAUUUGACUACAGACUGUGUGAACUGUCACCAGUUUCUCUUUGUCAACCCAGAAUCUCUUGCUUUUCUUUCCAAGGAGGCUGAUUUCUAAAGUGAUGAGGUCCCUCCACAGGAUUCCUCUGGGCUUUCACAAUACCUGGUCUUUCAGAGUGAUAACAUUUCUGGAAUGUGGACAGUCUGGCUAGUGAUAAAUGGUCCCCUUUCUUGCAGUGGAUUCAGCAAAGAGAGCUAUCAGCACAGAGCCCAGCGUGGAGCUUGAUCUCAUGAACCGUGAGAUCAUGACCUGAGCUGAAAUCAAGAGUCGGAUGCUUAACUGAACCACCCAGGCACCCCCUGAUGUUUAUUUUUUUUAACAGCUUUAUUGAAAUAGAAUUCAAACACCACAUAAUUCAUUCAUCUACAGUAUACAAUGCAAUAAUUUUUAGUAUAUUCACAGAUGUGUGUGACCAUCAUUGCAAUCAAGUUUGGAACAUUUUCAUCACCUCAAAAGGAAACUCUGUGCUCUUUGCUUUCUAUCCUUCUAUCCCUCCCAUCCAGUCCUAAGCAACCGUUAAUCUAUUUUUUGUCUAGAUUUUGUAUAGAUUUGUCUAUUCCAGAUGUUUUAUGUAAGUUGAAUUAUAUAAUAUGUGGUCUUUUGCAUCUUUUUAAAAAAAUACUUAUUUAUUUUUUAGAGAGAGACAGUGGGUGAGGGGCAGAGAGACAAAGACAGAGGAUCUGAAGCAGGUAUACCCGGACAACAGAGAGCCCAGUGUGGGGCUUGAACUCACAAACUGUGAGAUCAUGACCUGAGCCAAAGUCGGAUGCUUAACCAACUGAGCCACCCAGGCACCCCUGGGCUUUUGCCUCUUAAUGUUUGAAAAUAAAUGUGUCUAUAUUAUAAUCCUGCUUUGUGAAUUGAGAAUAUGUAAUCAGUGUUUUUAGGUCUGUCACUUUAUACAUUUUUUUCAAGAUUAGCAGAACAUUACGGAAAAUAUGGAAUCACAUUUUCUCCUCCCUUCCCUAAAAAAAAUGCCCAGAGGCGUUUUUUGUUUUGUUUUGUUUUUUCUUUAAGAGUUCACUCCAGGGGAAACAAAAGGAAGAGGAGGAAAAAAUAACAACCCAGGGAGUCAGGAGGUUUUGAACUUGUAUUGAAGUUCUCGCUAUCCAGGCCCUUGAUCUCCAGGCUCUGCCUGCUGUGGGGUCGGAGUUCACCUUUGAGGAGCAAACGUCAGGGAGAUGGGUCAGGGCUGCCUCCUCUCCCAUUUCCAGACUGCAGAGCUGCUCUGCCGAUAGGAAGGAUGCUUGAGGACAUCCCAGAGAUGGACUUUCAAAGGGGUAAGAGUAGAGAAAAGAGAUGAAUGUCCCGUUGUCUGGAGGAGGGAGGAUUUAUCAGAGCAAGGACUGAAGAUGAAGUAGUUGCCAACAGCCCAGGCCAGCUCUCAAGCCUGGCUCGGGGAGCCAUAGGGUACUUCAGGGUGCAGAGGGCAUUCUUCAAGGUCAGCCACAGGACAGGCAUCAGCUAAGGCAGCGAAUGAAAGCUCUGCUUGGGUCCUGACCCUGAGGAGGGAGCUUGUCAAACUGAUCCACUCCUGAUUUCACCUUUAGGGAAGAUCAACCAGGUCCCUGCUCCCACAACAGUCCCUUUCCUUAGCAAAAAUGACAAUCCCUAGUCUCGAAUAUUGGGCAGGAAGCAUACAACUCUAAGACAUGAUCCAGAAGUGAGUGGCUGAACUCACGGAGUUCAGUAGAUGCUCUAAGGAGGAGGGUGGCUCUGGAAACCUCAAAAUCCAAAUUCUACUGGGUAAUGUCAAAUGAGUGGGGGAGGGGGAGUCGUUCUGGCUGAACUGGAGCAGACGGGAAACAUAAAACAAGGCAAACAGGUCCAGUGCCGUGUGGAGACCUGGUUUACAAUAAGAAGACAAGAGGGGGAAACACAAAAACAGGCUAACGUGAUCAUAAGAGGCUUUGAAGUUGUGUUUGGAACAAGAACAUGGUGACUGGCUGCCUGCAGCUUGUCUUACACCUCAGCUGUCUGGGAAAGUGAUCUUCAGAUUAGAAAUGGAAGAAUAGGGGCACCUGGGUGGCUCAGUCAAUUAAGCAUCAGAUUUCUGGUCUUGGCUCAGAUCAUGAUCUCAUUCAUUGUUUUGAUCGAGCCCCACAUUGGGCUCUGCACUGACAGUGAGGAGCCUGCUUGGUAUUCUCUCUCUCUCUCUCUCUCUCUCUCUGCCCAUCCCCCGCUCACUCUCUUUAAAUAAAUAAACUUAAAAAAAAAGGAAUAGAAGAAUAAAUAUCAGUAAAGGAAUCUGAAAGCCGAGUGUAGUGGGUUGAAUGUGCCUCUCCCCACUUCAAAUUCAUGUUCACCCAGAACUUCAGAAUGUGACUGUAUUAGUUUUCUAGGGUUGGUGUAACACACUAUCACUCUAGCAGCUUUCUCAUGGAUUCUUUGGGAUUUUCUAAAUACAGAAUCCUGCCAUCCAUGAACAGACAUAGUUUUAUCUCUUUCCAGUUUGGAGGUCUUUUAUUUCUUUCUCUUAUCUAAUUGCACUGGCUACAAUAUUGAAUAGCAGCAGUAAAAGCGGGCAUCCUUGUCUUGUUCCUUAUCUUAAGGGAAAGGCUUUCAGUCUGUGAAUAUGAUGUUUACUGUGGGUUUUUCAUAAAUGCCCUUUAUCUAGCAAAUAAUCAACAUUAAAAUUUUCUUGUCCAUAAUGAGAUAUUGUAUAUGCAGAACACCCUAAUUAUUAAUAAGCCAAUGUAUUAUGAUACUGAUAAAAAAGAUUAUCGUAAUUGUAUAAAUAAAUACAUGCCUUUUAUUAUGUUUAGGAAAUUUCCCUUUAUUCCUACUUUUGAGUUAUUUAUUUAUUUAUUUAUUUAUAAUUUGAUUUGAGAGAGAGGGAGUGUGCACGUGUGCACACGUGAGCAGGGGAGGAGCCAAGGGGAAGAGAUAGAGACAAAGGGAGAGAGAGAGAGAGAAAGAGAGAGAGAGAGAGAAAAUCUCAAGCAGGCUCCACACUCAGCACAGAGCCUGAUGCCGGGCUCAAUCCCAGAACCUGGGAUCAUGACCAGAGAUGAAAUCAAGAGUCGAACACUCAGCUGACUGAGCCACCCAGGCGCCCCACCUGAGAGGUGUUUUUUUUUUAAUGUUUAUUUAUUUUUGAGAGAGAGAGAAACAGAGUGCAAACAGGGGAGGGCAGAGAGAGAGGGAAACACAAUCUGAAGCAGGCUAAAGGCUCUGAGCUGUCAGCACACAGCCCAAUGUGGGGCUUGAACCCACAAACCAUGAGAUCAUGACCUGAGCUGAAGUUGGACACUUAACCGACUGAGCCACCCAGGUGUCCCGAGAGUUUUUUUUUUUUUUUAAUCAAAGUAUAGUUGACAAAAAUAUGGAACGCUUCACAAAUUUGCGUGCCAUCCUUGCACAGGGGCCAUGUUUAGCUUCCCUAUAUCAUUCCAAUUUUACUUGUCAAAGCAAACAUGAUUUUUCUGAGAGUUUUUAUCAUAAAACAAUGUUGGAUAUUGUCAAAUGCCUUUUCUGCUCCAACUAAGAUGAUCAUAUGCUUUUGUCUUCAUUCUAUUAAUGUGAUGUAUCACAUUGACUGAUUUUCUUACGAUGAAUCACACCCUUGCAUUUCUGGGCUAAAUCUUACUUGGUCGUGGUGAAUAAUUCUCUUAAUGUGUUGUUGGAUUCAAUUUGCUAAUAUCUUGUCAAGAAUCUUUGCAUCUAUAUUCAUAAGGGACAUUGAUCUGUAAUCUUCUUGUGAUGUCUUCAUCAGGGUAAUGCUGACCUCAUGGGGUGAGUUAGGAACUGUCUCCUCCUCUUCAAUUUUUUGGAAGAAUUUGAGAAAGAUUGGUGUUAAUUCUUUAAAUAUUUGGUAGAAUUCACUUGUGAAGCCAUCUGGUGCUGGACUUUUCAUUGUUGGGAGCUUUUUGGUUACUGAUUCAAUCUUUUGCUAUAGGUGUGUUCAGAUCUCCCAUUUCUUCUUGAGUCACUUCAGGUCAUUUGCAUGUUUCAAGGAAUUUGUCCGUGUCUUCUGGGUUAUUUAAUUUGUUGGUGCACAACUGUUUAUAGUAUUCUCUUAUAAUCCUUUUUAUCUCUAUAAGCUUAGUAAUAAUGUUCCCAUUUUCACUUCUGAUCUUAGUUACUUAUAUCUUGUUUUUCUGUGUAAGUCUAUGCCAUGGUCUGAAGAUUUGUGUUCCCUCAAAAUUCAUAUGGUAAAUCCUAAUGCUCAAUGUGAUGGUAUUAGGAGGUGGGGCCUUUGGGGUGAUUAGGUCAUGAGGGCAGAGUCUUUAUUCAUGAGAUUAGAGCCCUUAUAUAAGAGGCUUCAGAAAGCAACCUCACCCCUUCUACCAUGCAAGGAUACAAUGAAAAACCUGUGACCCAGAAGAGGGCCCUCAUCUGACCAUGCUGGCACCCUGAUCUUGAACAUCCAAUCUUCAGAGCUAUGAGAAACAGACUUGUUUUAUAUAAGCUAUCCACUCUGUGGUGUUUUGUUCUAACAACCUGACCAGACUAGGAUAGUCUUGCUGAAAGUGUAUCAAUAUUGUCAAUCUUUUCAAAGAAUCAACUUUUUGCUUCAAUGAUUUUUCUCCUCAAUUUUUUUGGGGGUGACACAAUUUAACCCAUAGGAAUGGCUCUAUUUGGACACAGGGUCUUUACAGAUAUAAUUAGUUAAGAUGAGGUCAUAUUGGAUUAGGAUGGGUCCUAAAUCCAGUGACUAAUGUCCUUCUACAUUCCCACCAACAGUACCAAAGUGCCUUCAACUUUUCCACAUUAUUGUCAACACUAGCUAUUUUAUAGGUUUUGAUAGUAGCCAUCCUACUGGGUGUGAGGUGAUAUUCAAUUGCAGGUUUUUUUUAAUGAUUAUUUAUUUAUUUUUGAGAGAUAGAGAGGAAGAGCACAUGUGCAUGGACAUGCACACGAGUUGGGGAGGGGCAGAAAGAGAGAGAGAGAGAGAAUCCCAAGAAAGUUCAGCACAGAGCCCAACAUGGGCUUGAUCUCACAAACUGUGAGACCACAACUUCAGCUGAAAUCCAGAGUCGGAUGCUUAAUAGACUGAGCCACCCAAGUGCCCCCCACCUCAUUGUAGCUUUGAUUUGCAUUUCCCUAUUGAUUAGUGAUACUAAACAUGUUUUUAUGUGCUUAUUGGCCAUUUGUAUAUCUUACUUGGAUAAAUGUCUGUUCAAGGACUUUGCCCAUUUUUGAAUCAGGCUGUUUGUUUUCUUGUGGUUGAAUUGGAGUUAACUAUAGCCUCUGGAUAUUAUUUUCUUAACAGAUACAUGAUUUGCAAAUAUUUUCUCCCAUUCUGUGGGUUGCUUUUUACUCUGUUGCUAGUGUCUUUUGGUGCACAAAAUUCUUAAAUUUUUAUUAAGUCAAUCUAUUUUUUUCCCUUUGGCAUCAUAUCCAAGAAAUCAUUGCCAAAUCCAAUGUCCUGUAGCUUUUACCCUGUGUUUUCUUCCAAGGGUUCUGGGUCUUAUAUUUAGGUCAUAGAUCCAUUUUAGUUCAUUCUGUACAUGGUAUUCAGUAAGGGUCCAAUUUCAUUCUUUUGCACAUGGAUAUUCAGUUUUCUCAGCACCAUUUGGUGAAGACUAUCUUUCCCCACUGAAUGGUUUUGGCACCUUUUUGAAAAUCGUUGGGCUAUAUAUGUGAGAGUUUGUUUCUGAACUCUGUUCUGUUACUCUAUAUGUCUGUCUUUAUGCCACUAUCACACUGGGUUUUUUUUUUUUAAUGUUUUUUUUUUUAUUUUUGAGAGAGAGUAUGAGCAGGGGAGGAGCAGAGAGACAGGGAGACAUAGAAUCUGAAGCAGGAUCCAGGCUUCGAGCUGUCAGCACAGAGCCCAACAUGGGUCUCGAACCCACAAUGGUGAGAUCAUGAGCUGAAGUUGGAUGCUUAACUGACUGAGCCACCCAGGUGUCCUCACACUGGUUUGACUACUAUAGCUUUGCUGUAGGUUUUGAAAUCAGGAAAUAUGAGACCCCAACUUUUUUCCCCCUCACAAUUGUCUUGGUUAUUUGGGGUCUCUUAUGAUUCCAUACGCAUUUUAGGAUGAGUUUUUCUAUUUUUCUAAAAACACGAUUUGGAUUUCGACUUAAAAAUUGCAUUAAACAUGUAGAUCACUAAGUGUCCAUGAACUUGGGAUGUCAUUCCAUUUUAUAAUGUCUUCUUCAAUUUCUUUCAGCAGUGUUUUGUAGUUAUAAUUGUAUAAAUCUUUCACCUCUUUGGUUAAGUUAAUUCAUAUGUAUUUUAUUCUUUUUGAUGCUGUUGUAAAUAAAAUUUUCUUAAUUUAUUUUUUGGAUGGUUCAGUGUUAGUGUGUAGGACUGCAGUUGGUAUUUGUGUGUUACCUCAUAUCUUGCUAAUUUCCUGCAUUUAUUAGUUCUAAUAGUUUUUUUUUAAUUUUUUUAAUGUUUAUUUAUUUUUGAGACAGAGAGAGACAGAGCAUGAAUGGGGGAGGGUCAGAGAGAGAGGGAGACACAGAAUCUGAAGCAGGCUCCAGGCUCUGAGCUGUCAGCACAGAGCCCGACACAGGGCUCGAACUCACGGACCGUGAGAUCAUGACCUGAGCCAAAGUCAGACGCUUAACCAACUAAGCCACCCAGGCACCCCAAGUUCUAAUAGUUUUUUAAUGAAAUCUUUAGGAUCUUCUGCAUAUAUGGCAAUAUUGUCUGUGAAUAGAAAUAAUUUUAUGUCUUUUUUUCCAAUUUGGAAGCUCUUUAUUUCUUUUUCCUGCCUGAUGACUCUAGGUAGGACUUCUAGGAUUAUGUUGAAGAAGUGGGCAUCCUUUUCUUGCUCCUGAUCUUAGAGGGAAAGCUUUCCAUCCUUUUACCUCUGCAUAUGAUGUUUGCUGUAGGUUUUUCAUAUAUGGCUUGUAUUAUGUUGAGUUAGUUUCCUUCUAUUUCUAGUUUGUUGAGUUUUUUCAAGGGCUUUCUCUGAAUCUAUUGAAAUAAUCAUAUGGGGUUUCUUUCCUUCAUUCAGUUAAUGUGGUAUAUCACACUGAUUAAUUUUUGUAUGUUGAACCAUCCUUGCCUUCUAGGGGAACUCUCUCUUGGUCAUAGUGUAUAAUCCUUUUAAUAUGUUAAUAUUACUUUCAGAACUGUGACAUAUUAUAUUUAAUUUAAAGAGGGGGGAUUUCUUGAAGGAAUGGUCAACACUGUCUAGAAUCUCAGAGAGGUCAAGUAGGAUAAGGACUGAGGGAUUUAGUUAUUAAGAGGUUUUUGUUAAACUUGUGCACGAAUGUUCUUUUUAAAAAAAUUGUUUUAAUGUUUAUUUAUUUUUGAGAGACAGACAGAACUUAAGCAGGGGUGGGGGAGGGAGAGAGAGAGGAAGACACAGAAUCUGAAGCAGGCUCUGAGCUGUUAACACAGAGUCUAAUGUGGGGCUCAAAGCCACAAACCAUGUAAUCAUGACCUGAGCUGAAGUUGGAUGCUUAACUGGCUGAGCCACCCAGAUACCCCGUACAUGAAUGUUCUCAGUGGCACUAUUCAUAAUGGCCAAAGGGUGGAAACAACCCAUAUGUUUAUCAUUAAUGGUUAAACAAAAUGUUGUAUAUCAUAAAAUUGAGUAUUAUUCAGCCAUCAAAAGGAAUGAAAUUCUGAUAGAUGCUACAAUGUGGAUGAACCUUGAAAACAUUAUGCUAAGUGAAAAAAGACAGGCGCAAAAAGCCACAUAUGAUAUGAUUCCAUAUAUAUGAAAUAUUCAGUAGACAAGCCAAUAUAGACAGAAAGUAGAUUAAUGGUUUCCAGGGGCUUGGGGGAAGUGCUCAGAUCAGGUUAGGAGGUUGAAGAAGGUGUGAAAGCUUUGGUCUAGGUGCCAUGGGGAGGGGAGGGAAAGUUGAGCAAAAAUAAGUGAAAAACUGAACAUUUGGCUAAGCUUUUAGGCCCAAUCUUGCACAUUCAGAUGCAACAGGAGUUGGUAAGAGAUUGGUGUUACUGAGAACAAGGUGAGUUUGUAGAAUUUCUGUGGGUGAUGUGGUGGCUGAUAGCAGGAUGCUGAUGAGACUGGAAGAAACAGAAAAUUUUCGAGAAAGGGAAGAAGAUGAGUUCCACAAGGUCUAAAUAAACUUAAAGCAUUGAGGGCAAUAUCUGGUCCAUGUAGAAAAUACUUAUUUUUUUUUAAUAUGAAUUUAUUGUCAAAUUGGUUUCCAUACAAUACUUAUUUGUUAGAAAUAAUAGUUGAUUAUUUUGGAGGGGUGUCAGUUUUUUUGAGGUAUAAUUCACAUAUCAUACAAUUCAUCCCCUGUAUUGGUCAACUGUCUUUAAGUUUUUAUUUAUUUAUUUUUGAGGUAGAGAGGAAGAGUGCACACGAGUGGGGGAAGGGCAGAGAGACUCCCAAGCAGGCUCCACGCUGUCAGCACAGAGCCCGACAAGGGGUUCAGUCCCACAAACUGUGAGAUCAUAGCCCGCAUCAGACGUUUAACUGACUGAGCCACCCAGCCACCCCUGGUCAACUAUUUUUUGACCAGCGUACCAAGAUAAUUCAAUUGGGUAUGAAUUGUCUUUUCAACAAAUGGUGCUCAGACACAUAGAUUUCCAUAUGGGAAAGAAUGAAGUUGGACCUUUUCCUUAAUACUAAAUACAAAAAGUAACUCACAUCCUAGUGCACAUGAAGUGAUCUUUCAUUUUGGUUUUGAUUUGUAUUUCCCCAAUGAUUAAUGAUGUUCAAUAUUGCUUAGUGUGCUUAUUGGCCAUUUUUGUAUCUCCUUUGGAGAAAUAUCUCUUCAGAUACUUUGCCCAUUUUUAAUUCAAAUAGAUAAAAUUAAAAUAAAAUUCAACUUAUUGUUGAAUUGUAAAAGUUCAUUUUAUAUUCUGGAUACUAGACCCUUGUCAGGUAUAUGAUUUACAAAUAUUUUCUCCCAUUUAUGAAUGUCUUUUCGUUUCCUUUGAAGCACAAAAGUUUCUGGUGGGCUUCCUUUUGAGGUGAUGAAAUGUUCUAAAAUUGAUUAUGGUGAUUAUUGCACAGCUCUACCAACAUACUAAAAGCCAUUAAACCGAACACUUUAAAAGUGUGUCUCAUGGCAUAUGAAUUAUAACUCAAUAGUGCUAUUAUUUAAAAAAAUAAAGGAAUGAAUGAGUAAAAGGAGUGGAGAAUGUGCAUUUAGAAAAAAAAUUGAUAGGGGAACCUGGAUGGCUCAGUCGGUUAAGCAUUCAGCUCAGGUCAUGAUCUCACAGCUUGAGUUCGAGCCCUGCAUUGGGCUUUGUGCUGACAGCCCAGAGCCUGGAGCCUGCUUCAGAUUCUGUGUCUCCCUCUCUCUCUGUCCCUCCCCCACUUGCGCUCUGUCUCUCUCUCAAAAAUGAACAUUAAAUAAUUUUUUAAAGAAAAAAGAAAAAGAAUUGAUAGAUACUGUGACCCAAUAUAGUUUCACCUAAAUACAAAUCCUAUAAAAAUAACUUCAUCUCCCUUUUUGAUAAAGUUUUUUAUCAGAAUUUUUGAUAACGUUCUUAAUCCCUUUUAGACCUGGGUGAGGGAAUGCUCUAACAAAGGCUAUCUGGAUUUCAGUAAGAUAUUUGAAAAAUCUAGAACAGAUGACAGCAUUACUGAUCUCACAGUUUGUGGGAUAGAGGCCCGUGUUGGGCUUUGUGCUGACAGCAUAGAACCUGCUUGGGAUUCUAUCUCCCUCUGUCUGUCAAGCUGCUACUGCUUGAACUUUCUCUCUCUCUCUCUCAAAAACAAAUAAACACUUAAAAAAAGUAAGCUGGAAAAAGUUCUCAGAUUAUAUGCCAUAGGGCUUCAGUCAUCUGCAUUACUUUCUUCAUCAUUUUUAUUGGUGAUUUCAGAGGAGAAAAAUAGAUAAAAUCCUGAUCAAACUUGCAGGAGUCAGAGAACCAAGCCAACUUUGGAUGAAUUCUACAAGGGAAAAUUUUAGUUUGUACUUUUUCAAAUAAUUACAGAAUACAGGAGGAGACAUAGUUCCACAGUGCUCAUGUAGAACAUAACUCUGGAGUUUUGACUUUGAGUCUACCUGCUUUGUGGUAGAUGUCAAUGCAAUCUUGGUUCAAAAGAACAGUAAUCAUAUGUUCUGGACAUCAGUGGCUGCUAAACCCACAGCCAUUGCUCCCCUCUUUUCUUCCUUGUAGACCUGGAUUUUGUUCAGAAGACAACAGGCUCAGGGAUGUGGGGCCUGCCCCAAUCCACAAGGGAUGAUUAAAGUUUAGCGUAAGAGCCAGUAAGACAACCUCUUUCCCUUUUGCAAGGAACUUGCUUUCUCAGCAUUCCUGGAAGCUAAGAGUAUAGAAUGCAAGAGAGAUAAAUUGAGGUAAGAACGGUUAAGCAGGGGCACCUGGGUGGCUCAGUGGGUUAAGCAGCCGACUUCAGCUCAGAUCAUGAUCUCAUGGUCUGUGAGUUCAAGGCCUGCACCGGGCUCUGCACUGACAGUGUAAAGUCUAUUUGGGAUUCUUUCUCUCCCUCUCUCUCUGCCCCUCCCCUGCUCACAAUUUCUCAAAAUAAAUAACCUUAAAAAAAAAAAAAGAA